ACCUCCUCUAUGCAGCGCAGCCCGGGCCAGAGAGUGAGGCUAUGCCUAUGGCUGCCUACCUCGUGGUACACAAAUGAGUUGUCGCGCAUGUCAUGAUAGAGCACAUGUCAUUUGCACAAGACAAAGAGAGAGCAACCAGCCUGAGACGACUGUCCUUUUGGAUAACUACUCAACGCUGCACAGCACAGCAUUCAAUCACUCUCAUAAUUUUAUUGUCAUUUCAUCUUUUAUGGGGGACGCCCCACUCUUAUUAUUUUUAUCACUGAAUGGCUGCUGACGUACGUAUAUAUAAGAGCACUACAAGAUACGACAGGAAAGGAAUGCUGGCUUUCUGAUCGAGGAGGAGAUGAUCUAUUAUUGGCUAUUGGCUCCGGGGAUGGAGUGGAUCUACCUCUGAGAGACAAAGGGCCAGUUACUGUAUCAUGUAUGAAUAUUCUGUUGCUUGUACAUAUUUUCGUAACAUUAUCAGUAAUUGACUCUAGAGUAGCAUAUUGUGCUCCCCUUUCUUCAUCACUCAAUCUGCAGGCAGUGUAUGUGAUUUUCUGACAGGGAAGGCUACUCGGGAGUCGGCCACACAAGGUAUAGUCUAAUAAUUAUUGUACAGUACUUCGAUGAUCUUCUCUGUUUUGGGUCAGAUGCAAUUGCCUAUAGCCAGUUAAAACAUCUCUUCUACUCUUGGCUUAAGAAAUUGUAUUUUAUUAUUGUACCAGCAUUAGGUAGUUAACUCCACUUAUGCAUUGACCUCUACUACCGUGUAGCAGGAAAGUUCGUUAUUUGAGAAAUGUUGUAUAGUUGUUCACAUUUCAAUGCCAAGAAACCAUAGCUUUGCAUGGUGUGUCUUCCAUUUAUUAUUACAUGAAGUGUGAAGUGUGUUGUAAGUUUGUACAGAGAGGACUCCCAUGGUGGCAAUGAUCUGAUGAUGGCUCCACUGCUCUGAUGGACCAAUGCAGGAGAAGUUAUUCUGUAUAAUUAUUACACUAAAUUAAUGUAUGCCACUGUUUGGAUCGGUUUCUGUUCUGCUCAGCUUCUUCCUCCAACUUGCUUACGCAGGCUAAGCUUAUUCUUAGUUCAUUCUUAGUUCAUUCUAUAGUCUAGUAUUAUUGUCGGUUUGGUUGUUUUAUGUUUUUCACCUGGUCAUACGGAAUCACUUCAUUAAUUUGUGCAGACCACACCUCUAUCCACACAUUGUACCUGCACAUCCUGUAUAUAUGGGGCCAGUACACCCCCACUCACUGUACUGAUAUGUGGUCACACCCCCAUACAUGGUAACCCUCUUGACCACACCUCCACUGAUGCAUUGUGUCGUACAUGCUGUGUUUUUGUGUACAGUACACACAUCAUCCGUGUCUUUAUCCCCACACCUAGUCGGAGGGAGCAGCAAGUUCUACUAAGAGCCAGCAUCACCAACUAACCAACACACUACAAGACCUACCUACUACCAGCUAGGACAGCACACCACCCGGGACUUAAUACGCCUUUGUAUUACGAUCAUGAUACAAUUUGCUGCCCUCCCUCGCCCAUGGAUUGAAUGAUUAUGGACACUCACAGGACAACUAAGAGACUGACACACAAUAAUAGACACCAAAGGCAGUGUAUAUGAUUUUCUGACAGGAAAGGCUACUCUAAACAGAGGGAGUCGGCCACACAAGUUUGUAUAGAGAGGACUCCCAUGGUGGCAAUGAUCUGAUGAUGGCUCCACUGCUCUGAUGGACCAAUGCAGGAGAAGUUAUUCUGUAUAAUUAUUACACUAAAUUAAUGUAUGCCACUGUUUGGAUCAGUUUCUGUUCUGCUCAGCUUCUUCCUCCAACUUGCUUACGCAGGCUAAGCUUAUUCUUAAUUAGUUCAUUCUUAGUUCAUUCUAUAGUCUAGUAUAUUGUCGGUUUGGUUGUUUUAUGUUUUUCACCUGGUCAUACGGAAUCACUUCAUUAAUUUUUAUACAGUGCAGACCACACCUCUAUCCACACAUUGUACCUGCACAUCCUGUAUAUAUGGGGCCACACCCCCACUCACUGUACUGAUAUGUGGUCACACCCCCAUACAUGGUAACCCUCUUGACCACACCUCCACCCAUGCAUUGUGUCGUACAUGCUGUGUUUUUAUGUACAGUACAGUACACACAUCAUCCGUGUCUUUAUCCCCACACCUAGUCGGAGGGAGCAGCAAGUUCUACUAAGAGCCAGCAUCACCAACUAACCAACACACUACAAGACCUACCUACUACCAGCUAGGACAGCACACCACCCGGGACAGACUCUACUAUACCAUGUAAUAUGCCUUUGUAUUACGAUCAUGAUACAAUUUGCUGCCCUCCCUCGCCCAUGGAUUGAAUAAUUAUGGACACUCGCAGGACAACUAAGAGACUGACACACAAUAAUAGACUGUUGCUUGUACAUUUCGUAACAUUAUCAGUAAUUGACUGUAGAGGAGCAUCUUAAUUUAGCUCCCCUUUCUUCAUCACUCAAUCUGCAGGCAGUGUAUGUAAUUUUCUGACAGGAAAGGCUACUCUAAACAGAGGGAGUCGGCCACACAAGGUAUAGUCUAAUAAUUAUUGUACGGUACUUAGAUGAUCUUCUCUGUUUUGGGUCAGAUGCAAUUGCCUUCAAUCACUAGCCAGUUUAAAACAUUUCUUCUACUCAAGAAAUUGUAUUUUAUUAUUGUACCAGCAUUAGGUAGUUAACUCCACUUAUGCAUUGACCUCUACUACUGUGUAGCGGGAAAGUUCAUUAUUUGAGCCCUCGAGAAAUGUUGUAUAGUUGUUCACAUUUCAAUGCCAGGAAACCAUAGCUUUGCAUGGUGCGUGGGAAUGUCUUCCAUUUUUAUUACAUGAAGUGUGAAGUGUGUUGUAAGUUUGUAUAGAGAGGACUCCCAUGGUGGCAAUGAUCUGAUGAUGGCUCCACUGCUCUGAUGGACCAAUGCAGGAGAAGUUAUUCUGUAUAAUUAUUACACUAAAUUAAUGUAUGCCACUGUUUGGAUCGGUUUCUGUUCUGCUCAGCUUCUUCCUCCAACUUGCUUACGCAGGCUAAGCUUAUUCUUAAUUAGUUCAUUCUUAGUUCAUUCUAUAGUCUAGUAUAUUGUCGGUUUGGUUGUUUUAUGUUUUUCACCUGGUCAUACGGAAUCACUUCAUUAAUUUUUAUACAGUGCAGACCACACCUCUAUCCACACAUUGUAUCUGCACAUCCUGUAUAUAUGGGGCCACACCCCCACUCACUGUACUGAUAUGUGGUCACACCCCCAUACAUGGUAACACUCUUGACCACACCCCAAUCCUAUGCUGUGUUUUUGUGUACAGUACACACAUCAUCCGUGUCUUUAUCCCCACACCUAGUCGGAGGGAGCAGCAAGUUCUACUAAGAGCCAGCAUCACCCACUAACCAACACUCUACAAGACCUACCUACUACCAGCUAGGACAGCACACCACCCGGGACAGACUCUACUAUACCCAUGUAAUACGCCUUUGUAUUACGAUCAUGAUACAAUUUGCUGCCCUCCCUCGCCAAUGGAUUGAAUAAUUAUGGACACUCGCAGGACAACUAAGAGACUGACACACAAUAAUAGACACCAAAGGCAGUGUAUGUGAUUUUCUGACAGGAAAGGCUACUCUAAACAAAGGGAGUCGGCCACACAAGUCGGAGGGACAGCAAGUUCUACUAAGAGCCAGCAUCACCAACUAACCAACACUACAAGACCUACCUACUACCAGCUAGGACAGCACACCACCCGGGACAGACUCUACUAUACCUGUAAUACGCCUUUUUAUUACGAUCAUGAUACAAUUUGCUGCCCUCCCUUGCCCAUGGAUUGAAUAAUUAUGGACACUCGCAGGACAACUAAGAGACUGACACACAAUAAUAGACACCUAACUGCAUUUUUGCCAUUAAUAUAAUAAAAAUAAUUUUGCCAUUAA